UAGGGAAUCUUCGGCAAUGGGGGGAACCCUGACCGAGCAACGCCGCGUGAGUGAAGAAGGUUUUCGGAUCGUAAAGCUCUGUUGUUAAGGAAGAACGAGUGCGAGAAUGGAAAGUUCAUACUGUGACGGUACUUAACCAGAAAGGGACGGCUAACUACGUGCCAGCAGCCGCGGUAAUACGUAGGUCCCGAGCGUUGUCCGGAUUUAUUGGGCGUAAAGCGAGCGCAGGCGGUUAGAUAAGUCUGAAGUUAAAGGCAGUGGCUCAACCAUUGUAGGCUUUGGAAACUGUUUAACUUGAGUGCAGAAGGGGAGAGUGGAAUUCCAUGUGUAGCGGUGAAAUGCGUAGAUAUAUGGAGGAACACCGGUGGCGAAAGCGGCUCUCUGGUCUGUAACUGACGCUGAGGCUCGAAAGCGUGGGGAGCGAACAGG
rnacentral:rRNA from 1 species